CCCUUAGAUGUUCUGGGCCGCACGCGUGCUACACUGAGUGGAUCAGCGGGUCAGGUUGCGCGAAAGUGUUUCCUAAUCUUGAAAUCCGCUCGUGAUGGGGAUUGACGGUUGCAAUUUUCCGUCAUGAACGAGGAAUACCUUGUAAGCGCGGGUCAUCAUCCCGCGCUGAAUACGUCCCUGCCCUUUGUGCACACCGCCCGUCGCUCCUACCGAUUGAGUGGUCCGGUGAGGCUUUGGGAUCUGAGCGGAAAGAGCGUUUCGCUGUUUCUGCUCGGAAAACUCAGUCGAACCUUAUCAUUUAGAGGAAGGAGAAGUCGUAACA
rnacentral:rRNA from 1 species